rnacentral:rRNA from 1 species
GCCGUAGGGCGCGAGCGUUGUCCGGAUUUAUUGGGCGUAAAGAGCUCGUAGGCGGCUUGUCGCGUCGUUCGUGAAAACCUGCAGCUCAACUGCAGGCUUGCGGUCGAUACGGGCAGGCUGGAGUUCGGUAGGGGAGACCGGAAUUCCUGGUGUAGCGGUGAAAUGCGUAGAUAUCGAGAGGAACACCUGCGGCGAAGGCGGGUUGCUGGGCUGACACUGACGCUGAGGCGCGAAAGCUAGGGGAGCGAACGGG